GGCUCAUUAGCUUAGUUGGUAGAGCACCUGACUCUUAAUCAGGGGGUCCUGGGUUCGAGUCCCAGAUGGGUCAC
rnacentral:tRNA from 2 species